rnacentral:rRNA from 1 species
AUUGAUACUAAGCCAUGCGAGUCAUUGUAGCAAUACAAGGCAGACGGCUCAGUAACGCGUAGUCAACCUAACCUAUGGACGGGAAUAACCUCGGGAAACUGAGAAUAAUGCCCGAUAGAACACUAUACCUGGAAUGGUUUGUGUUCCAAAUGAUUUAUCGCCGUAGGAUGGGACUGCGGCCUAUCAGUUUGUUGGUGAGGUAAUGGCCCACCAAGACUAUUACAGGUACGGGCUCUGAGAGGAGUAGCCCGGAGAUGGGUACUGAGACACGGACCCAGGCCCUAUGGGGCGCAGCAGGCGAGAAAACUUUGCAAUGUGCGAAAGCACGACAAGGUUAAUCCGAGUGGUUUGUGCUAAACGAACCUUUUGUCGGUCCUAGAAACACCGAUGAAUAAGGGGUGGGCAAGUUCUGGUGUCAGCCGCCGCGGUAAAACCAGCACCUCAAGUGGUCAGGAUGAUUAUUGGGCCUAAAGCAUCCGUAGCCGGCUCUGUAAGUUUUCGGUUAAAUCUGUACGCUCAACGUACAGGCUGCCGGGAAUACUGCAGAGCUAGGGAGUGGGAGAGGUAGACGGUACUCGGUAGGAAGGGGUAAAAUCCUUUGAUCUAUUGAUGACCACCUGUGGCGAAGGCGGUCUACCAGAACACGUCCGACGGUGAGGGAUGAAAGCUGGGGGAGCAAACCGGAUUAGAUACCCGGGUAGUCCCAGCUGUAAACUAUGCAAACUCAGUGAUGCAUUGGCUUGUGGCCAAUGCAGUGCUGCAGGGAAGCCGUUAAGUUUGCCGCCUGGGAAGUACGUACGCAAGUAUGAAACUUAAAGGAAUU